rfam:Bacillus thuringiensis serovar pakistani str. T13001 contig00076, whole genome shotgun sequence.
AGUCGAAAAUGGUUAGCCGCGAGAAGUCAGCCGAAGCCAUAGUAGUGAAAUAAAUUCAUGAAGGGC